GACGAACGCUGGCGGCGUGCUUAACACAUGCAAGUCGAACGAGUGGCGAACGGGUGAGUAACACGUGGGUGAUCUGCCUUGCACUUCGGGAUAAGCUUGGGAAACUGGGUCUAAUACCGGAUAGUGCAAGAUGAGCUCGCGGGCUAUCAGCUUGUUGGUGGGGUAAUGGCUACCAAGGCGCGACGGGUAGCCGGUCUGAGAGGAUGAUCAGCCACACAGAGACUGAGACACUGCCCAGACUCCGACGGGAGGCAGCAGUGGGGAAUAUUGCACAAUGGGCGCAAGCCUGAUGCAGCCAUGCCGCUUGUAUGAAGAAGGCCUUAGGGUUGUAAAGUACUUUCAGCGGAGAGGCGUUACCCGCAGAAGAAGCACCGGCUAACUCCGUGCCAGCAGCCGCGGUAAUAC
rnacentral:rRNA from 1 species